CCUCUGUUCAUGAGUUUUUUUAAAAAGACCUCUUGAAUGUAUAAUGAAAAUUAGCCUUUUGCAUGCUAUGGGUGGGGCAAAUAUUUUCCCAUGUUUUGUCUUUUGACUUUAUUUUUUCCAUACAUAAAUUUUAACAUAGUAAAAUGAUCCUUCUUUUCAUUAUAACAUCUGAGUUUAAUGAGAAAGGUCUUUCUCACCCUGGAUUAUAAAAUAAUUCCCCCAUGUUUUUCUCUAGAAGUUUAUAGAUUGGUUUAUAUCAAAAUAUUUUUCCAUUUGGAAUUUGGCGUAGGCAGUGAAGAACGAGUUGAAGUAAUUCUUCAGAAAGCUUGGUUGGAGGAUUGACAAAAAUGAGCUGUCUGACACAUAAAUCCUGCAGAAGUUGUAGCUUACUGAUCUGCACAAUAGGUACAUUUUAAACAAGUAUGCCAGUACACCCUGGCCAUCAGGAAUGCAGAUGUUUGGCAAGCUUCCCUCUUCAGCUUUCUCUUCUUUGUGGAAAACACAUGGGUUGUUUGCGAUGAUAUUUUGUAUUUCUAGAGUAAGGUCUUGCCAGGUCUAGCAUUAAUUACUUAACCAGUUUGCAAAACUGCCUUUCACACAUCAUAUCACCUGGUUCUCCCUUCCAGGUAGUACACAAUUUCUUCUUCUGCCAGCAGGGCCAACUUGCUAUUCAUUCACAGGAUAAAUAAUAAUGCCACAACAUUUCACACCUGUGCUAACAAUGACCCGUCUGUGGACCUGACUGUCAGGGACUGCCCAUGCUUCACAGCCAAGGAGGGAUGGAGCCCAGCAAAGUGCACCAGGACCUGCCACUGGCCUUCAUCUUUGUCUUUUUUCCAGCGCCAUACUUUGAGAAGUGAGGCUGAAAAGGAUGGGUAUGGACUUGGAUCCGGAGGUCUGGAGGAGAAAUUGGAUUCAACAGGCUUGAGGGGCCAUCUUCCUUGGAGGGUGAGUGGGCACGGCCUAUGUGGAGGGUCUCUGGAGCUCUGUCUUUGCUUUUUCCAGGUUUUUGUAGGGACCUUGCCAACCUGGGACUUCUUUCAUGUUCCUUUAUUCAAUAGUUGUUUGCUUGCUCCAACCUGGGCAAGGGGAGGGCUGUGUUUAUGAAUUCCAUAGGAACCUUUUGAAUUCCAGCCCGGACCCAGGCCAAGACAGGCAAGUUUCUUUGCAGUCUUCCUGUCCCAGUGGAUGGAAUUUUUUCUAGUUCCCUCUUUCCACUCAAGUUGUACUUCUUCAAGUGUUCUAGCUUUAGAUGCAAGUGUUUUGUUUUCUGUUAAUUUCUGCUUUUUUGUCUUUUUUUUUUUUUUUGAGACGGAGUUUUGCCCUUGUCGACCAGGCUGGAGUGUAAUGGUGUGAUCUCGGCUCACUGCAACCUCUGCCUCCCAGGUUCAAGAGAUUCUCCUGCUUCAGC
rnacentral:lncRNA from 1 species